rnacentral:lncRNA from 1 species
UUUGAACGAUUGUAAAGUUCUAUCCUCUUUUUUGAUAUCCUAAGAACAACAAUUGAUGAAAAAUUAGAUGUAUUGUUGUGAAAGUUCAGAACUGAAAGACACUUUCUUGUUGAUAUAUAUAUCACCUACAUAUCCGCUGAAAAUUGGUGGUGAAAUACGCUUAAAGCUAGAGGAGGAGGAGGAGGAGAAAACGCUUUGAUGCAAUACCGUAAUUAUUUAAAUGGAACAAAAACGUAAUAGGAAUGAAGAAAUAUUGUUUACCUUAGCAAAAUAUGGUUCCAUGAAUCCGCAUGAUCUCCAAAAUUAGGGUUUCGAACCACUUCAGAGAUUGCAUAUUGUUUUUGUUUGAAGAAAUUCUGUCUAUAAGCGAGCAAAAGACAAAUACACAAAUAUAAUUGCCACUGCUCUCCAUAACUGUUAAGAAAAAGGAGAAAAACCAUGCGUUAAUCGAUUGAACUUUUAAGAGAGAGGUUACCAUGAAAGAGAGAGCCAGAUUGCAGGGGAGGAAGAUGAAGACAAUCGAUUGAUCAGAUUGAACUUUUAUAUCGUAGGGGAGAGGAAGUGCCGCUUGUGAGACUUAGUUUAGA